rnacentral:lncRNA from 1 species
UGGAAGAGGAGGCCCCAGAGCCAGCCCCAUCCCUGAGCUGCUGAUGGGAGGGGAGGAGGGCUGACAGUCGGGAGCAAGAAGGGAGACUGCGGUAACCGCCCCGUCCCCAGGGGGCCUCUCGUCUGAUACCUCGGUCUGGAAGGCGUGCCCAGCUGCCCUUCCGCAGGAGACACCAGUGUGUAGAGCAGAGCCCUUCCUUUCGAGAGGGUCUUCACGCUCUCAUCGUGGUCGGCGGUCGCGGGAGAGGGGCCCUCCUGGACCCGCAAGCACGCCCACUACUGCCAAAGACGCCGCGGCUGGUCUCGCAGCAGCGCGUCCUCCGGCAGCCCCAGCGAGUGAGCCCGGGGCUCGGGUGCGGAAGAUGAUAAAGAGGCUCCACCUGGUGGCCGCAGCGGGUCCUGAAGGAGCGCGUCCUCCGGCAGCCCCAGCGAGUGAGCCCAGGGCGCAGGUGCGGAAGAUGAUAAACAGGCGCCACCUGGUGGCCGGGUCGGUGAUUGGCCCCAAGAGCAAUAAAGACAAGUGGGAACCUGGGCCAAGGCGCCUGUGGCAAGGGGGUGAGUGCUUGGACCCUGCCAGAAGGACGUCUCGGGUUGCCGGAGGGUCAUCUGCAAUGUGGGCAAGCACCGGGAGGCGGCACCGCCAAAACUCAACGCUCUCGAAAAAAAUAAACGAGAAGGACUAAGAGAACCAGCUGCUGUGCGUCUUGGGGUGUGACUGGUUCACCCUCCGCGGUCCAUGCAUAUCACCUUUGAGCUCCUGGGCAGGAAAACCCUUGAGUUCCCGAAGGAGAAUAACAUCCAGCCAUUCCCCUCCCACAUGUCUGGCACAUGGCCCACCAGCUCUGCCACACCCUUAGAUUUCUGCACGAGAACCGGCUGACCCACGCACACCUGAAAACCGAGAACAUCCUGCAUGUGGAUUCUGAGUUAAACACCGUCUACAGCGAGCACAGGAGCGAUGAGAAGUCAGUGAGGAGCACCAGCGUCCGAGUGGCUGACUUCCCCAAUGCCACCUCUGACCGUGGGCACCACAUCGCCAUGGUGACCACGGUCACUGUCGCCUGCCUGAACUGAUCCUUGAUCUGGGCUGGACACGCCCCUGCCAUGUCCAGGGCAUGGGCUACCUUCUCUUUAAGUACUACCAGGUUUCACACUCUUCCAGACCUGUGAAAACCAAGAGCGCCUGGUGAUGUUGAAGACCCUACGGCUCAUCCCAUUACGCGUGAUCUCCUGUACCAAGAAGCAGAAAUAUUUCUACAAAUGGGGCCUAGUUUGGGAUGAGAACAGCUCUGACAGCCCAUAUGUGAAGAACUGCAAACGUCUGAAGAGUGACAUGCUCCAAGACUCUCUGGAGCACGUGCAGCUGUUUGACCUGAUGCGGAGGGUGGUAAAAUUGGACGCUGCCCAGCACAUCACUCUGGCUGAGACUCUUCUGCACCCCGUCUUUGCUGGCC